rnacentral:pre_miRNA from 2 species
UGCGUGGGCAUGGUCCAGUUUUCCCAGGAAUCCCUGUGCCCUUUUCCCGGGAUUCCAGGAAUAACUGUCCAAGCACACGUG